GGGGAAUAUUGGACAAUGGGGGCAACCCUGAUCCAGCAAUUCUGUGUGCACGAAGAAGGUUUUCGGAUUGUAAAGUGCUUUCAGCAGGGAAGAAAAAAAUGACGGUACCUGCAGAAGAAGCGACGGCUAAAUACGUGCCAGCAGCCGCGGUAAUACGUAUGUCGCAAGCGUUAUCCGGAAUUAUUGGGCAUAAAGGGCAUCUAGGCGGCCAGAUAAGUCUGGGGUGAAAACUUGCGGCUCAACCGCAAGCCUGCCCUGGAAACUAUAUGGCUAGAGUACUGGAGAGGUGGACGGAACUGCACGAGUAGAGGUGAAAUUCGUAGAUAUGUGCAGGAAUGCCGAUGAUGAAGAUAGUUCACUGGACGGUAACUGACGCUGAAGUGCGAAAGCUAGGGGAGCAAACAGGAUUAGAUACCCUGGUAGUCCUAGCUGUAAACGAUGAUUACUGGGUGUGGGCAUGAAGAGUGUCCGUGCCGAAGCUAAUGCGAUAAGUAAUCCGCCUGGGGAGUACGGCCGCAAGGCUG
rnacentral:rRNA from 1 species